AACGAACGCUGGCGGCAGGCUUAACACAUGCAAGUCGAACGCCCGUAGCAAUACGGGAGUGGCGGACGGGUGAGUAACGCGUGGGAACGUGCCCUGAGGUACGGAAUAACUGCGGGAAACUGCAGCUAAUACCGUAUGAGCCCCGCAAGGGGGAAAGAUUUAUCGCCUUAGGAGCGGCCCGCGUCGGAUUAGCUAGUUGGUGGGGUAACGGCUUACCAAGGCUUCGAUCCGUAGCUGGUCUGAGAGGACGAUCAGCCACACUGGGACCGAGACACGGCCCAGACUCCUACGGGAGGCAGCAGUGGGGAAUCUUGCGCAAUGGGCGAAAGCCUGACGCAGCCAUGCGCGUGUAUGAUGAAGGUCUUAGGAUUGUAAAAUACUUUCACCGGGGAAGAUAAUGACGGUACCCGGAGAAGAAGCCCCGGCUAACUUCGUGCCAGCAGCCGCCGUAAUAC
rnacentral:rRNA from 1 species